rnacentral:piRNA from 1 species
UUGGGAAUGGUGAUCCGAAGCAUUCCAGA